rnacentral:rRNA from 1 species
GCAGUAGAAGCUGAAGUCUGGUGCUUGCACUAGACGGAUGAGUUGCGAACGGGUGAGUAACGCGUAGGUAACCUGCCUCAUAGCGGGGGAUAACUAUUGGAAACGAUAGCUAAUACCGCAUAACAGUAUUUACCGCAUGGUAGAUACUUGAAAGGAGCAAUUGCUUCACUAUGAGAUGGACCUGCGUUGUAUUAGCUAGUUGGUGAGGUAACGGCUCACCAAGGCAUCGAUACAUAGCCGACCUGAGAGGGUGAUCGGCCACACUGGGACUGAGACACGGCCCAGACUCCUACGGGAGGCAGCAGUAGGGAAUCUUCGGCAAUGGGGGCAACCCUGACCGAGCAACGCCGCGUGAGUGAAGAAGGUUUUCGGAUCGUAAAGCUCUGUUGUAAGAGAAGAACUGUGAGAAGAGUGGAAAGUUUCUCACUUGACGGUAUCUUACCAGAAAGGGACGGCUAACUACGUGCCAGCAGCCGCGGUAAUACGUAGGUCCCGAGCGUUGUCCGGAUUUAUUGGGCGUAAAGCGAGCGCAGGCGGUUUGAUAAGUCUGAAGUAAAAGGCUGUGGCUUAACCAUAGUACGCUUUGGAAACUGUCAAACUUGAGUGCAGAAGGGGAGAGUGGAAUUCCAUGUGUAGCGGUGAAAUGCGUAGAUAUAUGGAGGAACACCGGUGGCGAAAGCGGCUCUCUGGUCUGUAACUGACGCUGAGGCUCGAAAGCGUGGGGAGCGAACAGGA